rnacentral:rRNA from 1 species
CCCGCUGAACUUAAGCAUAUCAAUAAGCGGAGGAAAAGAAACUAACAAGGAUUCCCUUAGUAACGGCGAGUGAAGAGGGAACAGCUCAAAUUUGAAAUCUGAUGGCCUACGGCUAUCCGAGUUGUAAUCUAGAGAAGUGUUUUCCGCGCUGGACCGUGUACAAGUCCUUUGGAACAAGGCGUCAUAGAGGGUGAGAAUCCCGUCUACGACACGGACUACCAGUGCUUUGUGAUACACUCUCAACGAGUCGAGUUGUUUGGGAAUGCAGCUCAAAAUGGGUGGUAAAUUCCAUCUAAAGCUAAAUACAGGCGAAAGACCGAUAGCGAACAAGUACCGUGAGGGAAAGAUGAAAAGCACUUUGGAAAGAGAGUUAAACAGUACGUGAAAUUGCUGAAAGGGAAACGCUUGAAGUCAGUCACGUCUGCCAGGACUCAGCCUUGCUUCUGCUUGGUGUACUUUCUGGUUUGACGGGCCAACAUCAAUUUUGACCGUUGGAGAAAGGCUUUGGGAAUGUGGCACCCUCGGGUGUGUUAUAGCCCUUUGUCGUAUACAACGGUUGGGAUUGAGGACCGCAGCACGCCUUCAUGGCCGGGGUUCGCCCACGUACGUGCUUAGGAUGUUGGCAUAAUGGCUUUAAGCGACCCGUCUUGAAACACGG